UACGGAGGGUGCAAGCGUUAUCCGGAUUCACUGGGUUUAAAGGGUGCGUAGGUGGGCAAGUAAGUCAGGGGUGAAAUCUCCGGGCUUAACCCGGAAACUGCCAUUGAUACUAUUUGUCUUGAAUACUGUGGAGGUCAGCGGAAUAUGUCAUGUAGCGGUGAAAUGCUUAGAUAUGACAUAGAACACCAAUUGCGAAGGCGGCUGGCUACACAAAUAUUGACACUGAGGCACGAAAGCGUGGGGAGCAAACAGG
rnacentral:rRNA from 1 species